AUAAAGGUUUGGUCCUAGCCUUAUAGUUAAUUAGAGGUAAGAUUACACAUGCAAAUAUCCAUAAACCAGUGUAAAAUCCCUUAAACAUUUGCAUUAAAUUUUAAGGAGAGGGUAUCAAGCACAUAAAAUAGCUUAAGACACCUUGCCAAGCCACACCCCCACGGGACCCAGCAGUGAUAAACAUUAAGCAAUAAACGAAAGUUUGACUAAGCUAUACCUCUCAGGGUUGGUAAAUUUCGUGCCAGCCACCGCGGUCAUACGAUUAACCCAAACUAACUAUACUCGGCGUAAAACGUGUAAACUAACCACAACAAAAUAGAACUAAAACCUAACCAAUAUGUGAAAAUUCAUCGUUAAACCAAAAUUCAACCACGAAAGUAAUUCUAGUACAAACUGUUACACGAUAGCUAAGGCCCAAACUGGGAUUAGAUACCCCACUAUGCUUAGCCAUAAACCUAAAUAAUUACACAACAAAAUUAUUUGCCAGAGAACUACUAGCCACAGCCUAAAACUCAAAGGACCUGGCGGUACUUUAUAUCCAUCUAGAGGAGCCUGUUCUAUAAUCGAUAAACCCCGCUCUACCUCACCAUCCCUUGCUAAUUCAGCCUAUAUACCGCCAUCUUCAGCAAACCCUAAAUAAGGCACCAAAGUAAGCACAAAAAUCAAACAUAAAAACGUUAGGUCAAGGUGUAGCCAAUGAGAUGGAAAGAAAUGGGCCACAUUUUCUUCGUAAGAAAACACGAAACCCUUUAUGAAACUAAAGGACCAAGGAGGAUUUAGUAGUAAAUUAAGAAUAGAGAGCUUAAUUGAAUAGAGCAAUGAAGUACGCACACACCGCCCGUCACCCUCCUCAAACUAAGUUUACCUAACAAUAAAUAAUACAAAGACAUAACUUAUGAGAGGAGAUAAGUCGUAACAAGGUAAGCAUACUGGAAAGUGUGCUUGGAAUAAU
rnacentral:ncRNA from 1 species